CCUACGGGAGGCAGCAGUGGGGAAUCUUGCGCAAUGGGCGAAAGCCUGACGCAGCCAUGCCGCGUGAAUGAUGAAGGUCUUAGGAUUGUAAAAUUCUUUCACCGGGGACGAUAAUGACGGUACCCGGAGAAGAAGCCCCGGCUAACUUCGUGCCAGCAGCCGCGGUAAUACGAAGGGGGCUAGCGUUGCUCGGAAUUACUGGGCGUAAAGGGAGCGUAGGCGGAUAGUUUAGUCAGAGGUGAAAGCCCAGGGCUCAACCUUGGAAUUGCCUUUGAUACUGGCUAUCUUGAGUGUGGGAGAGGUAUGUGGAACUCCGAGUGUAGAGGUGAAAUUCGUAGAUAUUCGGAAGAACACCAGUGGCGAAGGCGACAUACUGGCCCAUUACUGACGCUGAGGCUCGAAAGCGUGGGGAGCAAACAGGAUUAGAUACCCUGGUAGUCCACGCCGUAAACGAUGAGUGCUAGUUGUCGGCAUGCANGCAUGUCGGUGACGCGAGCUACGCAUAAGACACUCCGCCGUCGGGUAGGUACGGUCGCGACGAAGUUAAACUAACAAGAAGUAGUAGACGNGAGAGAGCGACGACGACGACGACGGAGGAGGAG
rnacentral:rRNA from 1 species